rnacentral:rRNA from 1 species
CAGGCUUAACACAUGCAAGUCGAGGGGCAUCAGGAAGAAAGCUUGCUUUCUUUGCUGGCGACCGGCGCACGGGUGAGUAACACGUAUCCAACCUGCCCUUUGCUCGGGGAUAGCCUUUCGAAAGAAAGAUUAAUACCCGAUAGCAUAAUGAUUCCGCAUGGUUUCAUUAUUAAAGGAUUCCGGUAAAGGAUGGGGAUGCGUUCCAUUAGGUUGUUGGUGAGGUAACGGCUCACCAAGCCUUCGAUGGAUAGGGGUUCUGAGAGGAAGGUCCCCCACAUUGGAACUGAGACACGGUCCAAACUCCUACGGGAGGCAGCAGUGAGGAAUAUUGGUCAAUGGGCGCUAGCCUGAACCAGCCAAGUAGCGUGAAGGAUGAAGGCUCUAUGGGUCGUAAACUUCUUUUAUAUAAGAAUAAAGUGCAGUAUGUAUACUGUUUUGUAUGUAUUAUAUGAAUAAGGAUCGGCUAACUCCGUGCCAGCAGCCGCGGUAAUACGGAGGAUCCGAGCGUUAUCCGGAUUUAUUGGGUUUAAAGGGAGCGUAGGUGGACUGGUAAGUCAGUUGUGAAAGUUUGCGGCUCAACCGUAAAAUUGCAGUUGAUACUGUCAGUCUUGAGUACAGUAGAGGUGGGCGGAAUUCGUGGUGUAGCGGUGAAAUGCUUAGAUAUCACGAAGAACUCCGAUUGCGAAGGCAGCUCACUGGACUGCAACUGACACUGAUGCUCGAAAGUGUGGGUAUCAAACAGGAUUAGAUACCCUGGUAGUCCACACAGUAAACGAUGAAUACUCGCUGUUUGCGAUAUACAGUAAGCGGCCAAGCGAAAGCAUUAAGUAUUCCACCUGGGGAGUACGCCGGCAACGGUGAAACUCAAAGGAAUUGACGGGGGCCCGCACAAGCGGAGGAACAUGUGGUUUAAUUCGAUGAUACGCGAGGAACCUUACCCGGGCUUAAAUUGCAGUGGAAUGAUGUGGAAACAUGUCAGUGAGCAAUCACCGCUGUGAAGGUGCCGCAUGGUUGUCGUCAGCUCGUGCCGUGAGGUGUCGGCUUAAGUGCCAUAACGAGCGCAACCCUUAUCUUCAGUUACUAACAGGUCAUGCUGAGGACUCUGGAGAGACUGCCGUCGUAAGAUGUGAGGAAGGUGGGGAUGACGUCAAAUCAGCACGGCCCUUACGUCCGGGGCUACACACGUGUUACAAUGGGGGGUACAGAAGGCAGCUAGCGGGUGACCGUAUGCUAAUCCCAAAAGCCUCUCUCAGUUCGGAUCGAAGUCUGCAACCCGACUUCGUGAAGCUGGAUUCGCUAGUAAUCGCGCAUCAGCCACGGCGCGGUGAAUACGUUCCCGGGCCUUGUACACACCGCCCGUCAAGCCAUGGGAGCCGGGGGUACCUGAAGUACGUAACCGCAAGGAUCGUCCUAGGGUAAAACUGGUGACUGGGGCUAAGU